rnacentral:rRNA from 1 species
GACAGAGGGGGCGAGCGUUGUCCGGAGUCACUGGGCGUAAAGCGCGCGCAGGCGGUCGCCAGAGUGUCGUGUGAAAGCCCCCGGCUCAACCGGGGGAGGCCAUGGCAAACUCGGCGACUGCAGCGGCGGAGAUGCCCCUCGAAUUGCCGGUGUAGCGGGGAAAGGCGUAGAGAUCGGCAGGAAAACCAAGGGGGAAGCCAGGGGGCUGUGACCUGGCUGACGCUCAGGCGCGACAGCGUGGGGAGGGAACCGG